rnacentral:rRNA from 1 species
AGUGGGGAAUAUUGGACAAUGGGCGAAAGCCUGAUCCAGCAACGCCGCGUGAGGGAUGACGGCCUUCGGGUUGUAAACCUCUUUCAGUAGGGACGAAGCGAAAGUGACGGUACCUACAGAAGAAGGACCGGCCAACUACGUGCCAGCAGCCGCGGUAAUACGUAGGGUCCGAGCGUUGUCCGGAAUUAUUGGGCGUAAAGGGCUCGUAGGCGGUUUGUCGCGUCGGGAGUGAAAACUCAGGGCUCAACCCUGAGCGUGCUUCCGAUACGGGCAGACUAGAGGUAUGCAGGGGAGAACGGAAUUCCUGGUGUAGCGGUGGAAUGCGCAGAUAUCAGGAGGAACACCGGUGGCGAAGGCGGUUCUCUGGGCAUUACCUGACGCUGAGGAGCGAAAGCAUGGGGAGCGAACAGGAUUAGAUACCCUGGUAGUCCAUGCCGUAAACGUUGGGCGCUAGGUGUGGGGACCUUCCACGGUCUCCGUGCCGCAGCUAACGCAUUAAGCGCCCCGCCUGGGGAGUACGG